UCACAAGAAAGGGCUGAACAUCCAUGGCGAAGAAAACGGCAUAACCAACGUUCAAAUAUAAUUUAAAAGAGGGAGAGCGAUGUCUGCCUUUGGGUGAAUACUGGGCAUUUACAGUUCCACAAACCACCAACAGAUGGCAUAUUAUUUCCCAU